rnacentral:rRNA from 1 species
CAGUCGAGCGACAGACGAGGAGCUUGCUCCUCUGACGUUAGCGGCGGACGGGUGAGUAACACGUGGAUAACCUACCUAUAAGACUGGGAUAACUUCGGGAAACCGGAGCUAAUACCGGAUAACAUGUUGAACCGCAUGGUUCAACAGUGAAAGACGGUCUUGCUGUCACUUAUAGAUGGAUCCGCGCCGCAUUAGCUAGUUGGUAAGGUAACGGCUUACCAAGGCAACGAUGCGUAGCCGACCUGAGAGGGUGAUCGGCCACACUGGAACUGAGACACGGUCCAGACUCCUACGGGAGGCAGCAGUAGGGAAUCUUCCGCAAUGGGCGAAAGCCUGACGGAGCAACGCCGCGUGAGUGAAGAAGGUCUUCGGAUCGUAAAACUCUGUUAUUAGGGAAGAACAAAUGUGUAAGUAACUAUGCACGUCUUGACGGUACCUAAUCAGAAAGCCACGGCUAACUACGUGCCAGCAGCCGCGGUAAUACGUAGGUGGCAAGCGUUAUCCGGAAUUAUUGGGCGUAAAGCGCGCGUAGGCGGUUUUUUAAGUCUGAUGUGAAAGCCCACGGCUCAACCGUGGAGGGUCAUUGGAAACUGGAAAACUUGAGUGCAGAAGAGGAAAGUGGAAUUCCAUGUGUAGCGGUGAAAUGCGCAGAGAUAUGGAGGAACACCAGUGGCGAAGGCGACUUUCUGGUCUGUAACUGACGCUGAUGUGCGAAAGCGUGGGGAUCAAACAGGAUU